rnacentral:rRNA from 1 species
UGGGGAAUAUUGCACAAUGGAGGAUUACUCUGAUGCAGCAACGCCGCGUGAGUGAUGAAGGUCUUCGGAUUGUAAAGCUCUGUCUUCUGGGACGAUAAUGACGGUACCAGAGGAGGAAGCCACGGCUAACUACGUG